rnacentral:rRNA from 1 species
AUACGUAGGGGGCAAGCGUUAUCCGGAUUUACUGGGUGUAAAGGGAGCGUAGACGGAAGGCCAAGUCUGAUGUGAAAGCCCGCGGCUCAACUGCGGGACUGCAUUGGAAACUGGUCAUCUGGAGUGCAGGAGGGGUUAUCGGAAUUCCCGGUGUAGCGGUGAAAUGCGUAGAGAUCGGGAGGAACACCAGUGGCGAAGGCGGGUAACUGGACUGCAACUGACGCUGAGGCGCGAAAGUGUGGGGAGCAAACAGGAUUAGAUACCCUGGUAGUCCACACUGUAAACGAUGAAUGCUAGGUGUAGGAGGUAUCGACCCCUUCUGUGCCGCAGUAAACACAGUAAGCAUUCCGCCUGGGGAGUACGGUCGCAAGAUUAAAACUCAAAGGAAUUGACGGGG